GGUGACUCAGUGGUAGAGUGCUUGCCUCUCAUGCAUGAGGUUCUGGGUUCCAUUCCUCAGCACCA
rnacentral:tRNA from 1 species